UUGUUUUUUUAGGGAGGGAAAGGAGAAGGGAGAGAAGGGAGCAGGACCCUCUUUCUCCCUGGAAUCGCCGCCUAGAACUCCUUCCCCAUCGAAAGGCACCCAAACCCCCUCCCAGACUGAGCCAGGCUCUCCAAAAAAAACUCAAUUUGACGCACGGGAACUUCUCCAAGACGCGCCACCGGCUUCUCCAAGGCAAUUUAUUUGUUGGGGGAGGGAAGAGGGUUUUUUUUAUAUAGGGAGCGGGAGGUGAAGGGAGUGGGACCCUCUUUCUCCCCAUCGAAAGGCAGACAGGCUCUCCAAAACACCCCUCUUUUGACGCACUGGAACCUCCAAGGCACGUCACCGGCUUCUCCAACGCAACUUGUUUGUUUGUUUGUUUGUAGGAAAGAGGGAAGGAGAGGAAGGGAAGGGAAGCCCCUUCUUUCUUCCCAUCGGGGGGGGGGGUUGCCUUCUGGACCGAAAGACGCCCAAACUGUCAAAACUCUUCUUUUUACGCACGAAGAGGUCUCCUCUCCAAAACGCACUGGCUUUGCUUCUCCAUCGCAACUGGUUCGGAGUUUCGUUUGGUUUUUUUGGGGAGGGGAGAGAUAAUAUUAUUUGGGGAGGUGGAAACAGAUUAGAGGGAAAUUCUCUUUUUUUCUCCACCAGAUCUCUUUUGAGGAUCGGCUUGGAAAGGCACAACCAUUCUCCAAAAAAAAAAAAAAAGUCCCGCUUUUACGCACGUCUCCAAGGCGCAACUCGUAGGUCCCGCCGCUUGUUUUGGGUAUAUUUUUGGGAAGCAUAG
rnacentral:lncRNA from 11 species